CUCGGGGAGCCCGCGGGGGGCAGAGGCGCCGACCUCCGCCUGGGACCGAGAGGAACCCGCGCCCUGCCCUGCCCCGCCCGGCGCGCGUGGGCCUGAGUCAGGCGCCUCAGCACGGGGACCCCCGGGCCGGCCUUCACGCCGCAGAGCCGCUGCAGGUACGUUCACGGAAGUGGCACACUGCAUGCGUCCAGUGAGUCAAUGUGGCACCGCCUACAUGCGUGUCACUGGCCGGUGGGACAUUCAAAUCAUUCAUACGGGGUCUAAACGAGACAGAGCGUGGCCGAGACAGGAAAGACAGGAAGCGCUGUGCUGCUUGGAAAUGGUCCACCAGGUGCAGCAGUAGCUGCAAGAAAGGAACAGGAAGAACGGUGUGUUCAAAGCUCUACCAUUUGUGUAGAAAAGGGA
rnacentral:lncRNA from 10 species